UUGGAGGGCAAGUCUGGUGCCAGCAGCCGCGGUAAUUCCAGCUCCAAUAGCGUAUAUUAAAGUUGUUGCAGUUAAAAAGCUCGUAGUUGAACUUCGGGGUCUACCCAUUGGUCAGGCUUAAUUGUCUGUACUGGUGAGAUGGAUCUCUACCUUCUGAGGAACCUUCAUGCCAUUUAUUUGGUGUGGUUGGAAAUCAGGACUGUUACUUUGAAAAAAUUAGAGUGUUUAAAGCAGACUAUCGUCUGAAUACAUUAGCAUGGAAUAAUGAAAUAGGACGGACUGAUUCUAUUUCGUUGGUUUCUAGGAUCACCGUAAUGAUUAAUAGGGAUAGUUGGGGGCAUUAGUAUUCAAUUGUCAGAGGUGAAAUUCUUGGAUUUAUUGAAGACUAACUACUGCGAAAGCAUUUGCCAAGGAUGUUUUCAUUAAUCAAGAACGAAAGUUAGGGGAUCGAAGACGAUCAGAUACCGUCGUAGUCUUAACCAUAAACUAUGCCGACUAGGGAUCGGACGAAGUUAAUUUUAUAAUGACGCGUUCGGCGCCUUACGGGAAAC
rnacentral:rRNA from 1 species